rnacentral:rRNA from 1 species
UACAGAGGUCUCAAGCGUUGUUCGGAUUCAUUGGGCGUAAAGGGUGCGUAGGCGGCGCGGUAAGUCGGGUGUGAAAUCUUGGAGCUUAACUCCGAAACUGCAUUCGAUACUGCCGUGCUUGAGGACUGGAGAGGAGACUGGAAUUUACGGUGUAGCGGUGAAAUGCGUAGAUAUCGUAAGGAAGACCAGUGGCGAAGGCGGUCUGCUGGGCCGUUGCUGACGCUGAUGCGCGACAGCGUGGGGAGCAAACAGG